GACAGAGGAUGCAAGCGUUAUCCGGAAUGAUUGGGCGUAAAGCGUCUGUAGGUGGCUUUUUAAGUCCGCCGUCAAAUCCCAGGGCUCAACCCUGGACAGGCGGUGGAAACUACCAAGCUGGAGUACGGUAGGGGCAGAGGGAAUUUCCGGUGGAGCGGUGAAAUGCGUAGAGAUGUGGAGGAACACCGAUGGCGAAGGCAGCCCCCUGGGUCAAAACUGACGCUCAUGCACGAAAGCGUGGGGAGCAAACAGG
rnacentral:rRNA from 1 species